GACGAACGCUGGCGGCGUGCCUAAUACAUGCAAGUCGAACAAGAGCGACCGGUGCUUGCACUGGUCAAUCUAGUGGCGAACGGGUGAGUAACACGUGGGUAACCUGCCCAUCAGAGGGGGAUAACAUCCGGAAACGGAUGCUAAAACCGCAUAGGUCUUCGAGCCGCAUGGCUUGAAGAGGAAAAGAGGCGCAAGCUUCUGCUGAUGGAUGGACCCGCGGUGCAUUAGCUAGUUGGUGAGGUAACGGCUCACCAAGGCCGUGAUGCAUAGCCGACCUGAGAGGGUGAACGGCCACAUUGGGACUGAGACACGGCCCAAACUCCUACGGGAGGCAGCAGUAGGGAAUCUUCCGCAAUGGACGCAAGUCUGACGGAGCAACGCCGCGUGAGUGAAGAAGGUUUUCGGAUCGUAAAACUCUGUUGUUAGAGAAGAACAAGUGCUAGAGUAACUGUUAGCGCCUUGACGGUAUCUAACCAGAAAGCCACGGCUAACUACGUGCCAGCAGCCGCGGUAAUACGUAGGUGGCAAGCGUUGUCCGGAUUUAUUGGGCGUAAAGCGAGCGCAGGCGGUUCCUUAAGUCUGAUGUGAAAGCCCCCGGCUCAACCGGGGAGGGUCAUUGGAAACUGGGGAACUUGAGUGCAGAAGAGGAGAGUGGAAUUCCAUGUGUAGCGGUGAAAUGCGUAGAUAUAUGGAGGAACACCAGUGGCGAAGGCGACUCUCUGGUCUGUAACUGACGCUGAGGCUCGAAAGCGUGGGUAGCAAACAGG
rnacentral:rRNA from 1 species